rnacentral:rRNA from 1 species
GUGUUACUGCGAAGGGGGGACGGAGAAGGCUAUGUUAGCCGGGCGACGGUUGUCCCGGUUUAAGCAUGUAGGCGGAGGUUCCAGGUAAAUCCGGUACCUUUUAACGCUGAGGUGUGAUGACGAGGCAUUACGGUGCUGAAGUAACAAAUGCCCUGCUUCCAGGAAAAGCCUCUAAGCAUCAGGUAACAUUGAAUCGUACCCCAAACCGACACAGGUGGUCAGGUAGAGAAUACCAAGGCGCUUGAGAGAACUCGG